rnacentral:rRNA from 1 species
CUUAAAUUGAAGAGUUUGAUCAUGGCUCAGAUUGAACGCUGGCGGCAGGCCUAACACAUGCAAGUCGAGCGGAAACGAGUUAUCUGAACCUUCGGGGAACGAUAACGGCGUCGAGCG